AUUGGGUGGUCCACCCAUCAAAUCCACAGCCCUCCAGUUUGGAGAUAGGGAUGUGGUGGGGGACCAUAUCAAAGGCCUUGCAGCAAUCAGUUGCUGUGGUUCUGGCCGGGAAGCUCCUCCUCAAUCUACCUUGGCAAUCAAGCAUUCAGGUUCACCAGUCAUGUUUCUAAGCCUGUUAGGAAUUAUUUAGAUGGCAUAUUACUACAAGUGGAGUGUACUCUGCCCACCACAGUGAGCCACCUGAAUCUGCAGGCAUCUAGGCAUGGUACAUCUCCCCAUCACGGGGUAAGCAUUGUUUGCAUUGUAGUAUGUUUGGUGCCCACCUUCCCUCUUGGUGGGGCUGGCAUGUUGGGGUGGAUAGCACUGGAGAGAGCCAGGAAUGUGGCUUUGUGGAGUGGGACUCAUUUAUGGGGCAGCUGACUGAGCAGAAAGGAUAAGCUGCAUGGGUAGGUGUACACAUAGGCACAGUGUACUGACUCAGAAACAAACCUUCAGAAGAGGAGCUGGAAACACUAGAUGCUGAGAGCUUCUGUGGGCUGAGGAUGCUGAAAUAACUGGGUCCAUCCCUCAGGCAGCAACCUUCUCCCAUACCAAAGAAUGGUGCUUGCUCAUGCAAGUAGCUGCAGCGCUAGAAGCCAAGCUACAAACAGGUAGCUGCAUGAGGGGUUCAUGCAAAAUGGAGGCAGUUUGGUGCAGGGGCACAGCCCUGACUGACUUCUGUGGUGGAGCAGUAAUGGGCUGAAGGUAUAUCUUGGAGCCAAGGGGCUACCUCCACCAUUGCUGCCCCAGAUGGAUGGGGCUCUCACAGGCUGGUUUGCUCCUCAGCCACCUGUAGGUCUGUAGGAGCAGACCUGGGUUGGCGAUGUCACUGAUGCCAGGACAAACCGUGCGUUAGCUAUUGGAACUGUGAAUAAGUGACCCACAAAUGCUACAUUUGUCAUACCAGUUUUGUCCUCCUUGUAGAGCCCUGUUUCUUGUUCACUUUUACUUAUGGCUACCUCAUGGGAUCUGUGUAGAAAAAAAAAAUACAAUACUUCGAGUUCUGCUUACAAGGUUUUCGAUUACCAAACCC
rnacentral:lncRNA from 1 species